GAAAUGCGAUAAGUAAUGUGAAUUGCAGAAUUCAGUGAAUCAUCGAAUCUUUGAACGCACAUUGCGCCCGCCAGCACUCUGGCGGGCAUGCCUGUUCGAGCGUCAUUUCAACCCUCAGAACCCCUUGUGGGAUCUGGCGUUGGGGAUUGGCAUCCAGCCAGCCCCGAAAUCUAGUGGCGGUCCCUCCGCGACCUCCCCUCUGCAGUAGCGAUACCUCGCAGCGGGACAGCGGUCUGACCACGCCGUAAAACCCCCAACUUCUCAAGGUUGACCUCGAAUCAGGUAGGAAUACCCGCUGAACUUAAGC
rnacentral:misc_RNA from 1 species